rnacentral:rRNA from 1 species
UNGGGAACUGCGUUUUGAACUGGUAAGCUAGAGUAUGUCAGAGGGGGGUAGAAUUNCACGUGUAGCAGUGAAAUGCGUAGAGAUGUGGAGGAAUACCGAUGGCGAAGGCAGCCCCCUGGGAUAAUACUGACGUUCAUGCUCGAAAGCGUGGGUAGCAAACAGGAUUAGAUACCCUGGUAGUCCACGCCCUAAACGAUGUCAAUUAGCUGUUGGGGCACUUGAUGCCUUAGUAGCGAAGCUAACGCGUGAAAUUGACCGCCUGGGGAGUACGGUCGCAAGAUUAAAACUCAAAGGAAUUGACGGGGACCCGCACAAGCGGUGGAUGAUGUGGAUUAAUUCGAUGCAACGCGAAGAACCUUACCUGGUCUUGACAUGUACGGAAUCUUCCAGAGACGGAAGAGUGCCUUCGGGAGCCGUAACACAGGUGCUGCAUGGCUGUCGUCAGCUCGUGUCGUGAGAUGUUGGGUUAAGUCCCGCAACGAGCGCAACCCUUGUCAUUAGUUGCCACCAUUCAGUUGGGCACUCUAAUGAGACUGCCGGUGACAAACCGGAGGAAGGUGGGGAUGACGUCAAGUCCUCACGGCCCUUAUGACCAGGGCUUCACACGUCAUACAAUGGUCGGUACAGAGGGUAGCCUAGCCGCGAGGUGGAGCCAAUCUCAGAAAACCGAUCGUAGUCCGGAUUGCACUCUGCAACUCGAGUGCAUGAAGUCGGAAUCGCUAGUAAUCGCAGGUCAGCAUACUGCGGUGAAUACGUUCCCGGGUCUUGUACACACCGCCCGUCACACCAUGGGAGUGGGGGAUACCAGAAGUAGGUAGGCUAACCGCAAGGAGGCCGCUUACCA